rnacentral:sRNA from 1 species
AAAGGACGGAUGGUGCGGACUUCGGCACAUCGGAACUCAUCCGUUAUUUCACAAUCAUCAAUGGUUUUCCUUUCCCUUAUCCGUUGAAUGGU